rnacentral:snRNA from 1 species
GCACUCGCUUUGGCAGCACAUAUACUAAAAUUGGAACGGUACAGAAAAGAUUAGCAUGGCCUCAUGCAAGGAUGACACGCAGAUUCGUGACGUGUUCCAUAUUUUU